UUUUCCCAGUAGCUGGUCCUGGCAUUCUUUUGGAUUUGAGCUGAGACGGUGUUGCUAACACAGGGAUGUUUUCACUGGUGCUGAGCAGUGUUCACACAGCAUCCAGGGCUUUUGUGCAUCUCACCCACCCACCAGGGAGUGCGCUGGGUGAGCACAAGGAGCUGGGAGGGAACACUGCUUCCCCCAAGUGAGCCAAGGAAUAUCCCAGGCCAUACGGCCUCAUGUUCAGCACACAAAGCUGGAGGAAGAAGUGAGUAGGGGAUGUCAGGAGUGGUGGUAAAGUCACCAUUGCAUGUGAUGGAGCCCUGCUUUCCUGUAGAUGGCUGAACAUCUGCCUGCAGGGGGCAGUGGGCAAUAGAUUCUUUCUUUUGCUGUGUUUGUGUGCAUUGUUUUUCCUUGACCUAUUAAACUGUGUUUAUCUCAACCUGUGAAUUUGCUCCUUUUCCUGAUUCCCUCCCCCAUGUGGGGGAGUGAGCAGGCAGCUGUGUGGGGCUGAGUUGCCAGGUGGGGUUAAACCAUGCCCGUCCUUUUUGGUGCCUGCCAUGGAGCCUGAAGGCUUUGAGGAUAGAAAAGUCUAAAUGUGUGUGUCAAAUCAAAAGCUUGCUUUAUUUUUAGAUGACGGAUACAGAUCUCCUUUAUGGCUACUGGACAGUCCACAGAAAUCUAGAACUCAUGUUUGAUCAUCAUACCAAAGUAUAAUGCAAAACAACAAAAAAUAUCCAUAUAAGUACAUGUUUCAACAGCUACAUCUCUAUAAAGUAGUAUGGAAGGACUGGAGAAUCAUUACAAGAAUGAAUCGUAGGAAAGGUCAUCUGAGUAGAGGAAGUGAAAACAGGAAACAAAUGAGUUCAGGAAAAAAGAUAUAAAACAAAGAAAAAAUUGUCCAUGUUUUGCAAAAAGAAAAAAAAAGACAAAUAUGUGUCAUUGCAUCGUGUACAUAGAAGAAAUUAAGAAUUCUUAAUUUUAAAUUACUAAUCUGGAACAAGAUGAUCAAUAAUCUAGGAUAUGAACUAAUAAGACCUGCAACACUUAUGAAGCAUUGACAAGAUAAAGGUUUUGAGAAGGACCUUUACUGAACAUUUUGUCCACUGUAAAACAGCACCAGAAGAGAUGAUGUAUUGAGACCUGAAAGGGGAAUCAGGGUAUCAAGGAAUGAAUCUUUAUUUUAAGCAAAAUGUAACAAAGUAGGCAUCAAAAAAGCCACUGCCAGAAGGCAGAGGAACACAAGCUAUUCUCACGGAGUUAGAGAAUUUCCAAGUCAAUGGCUGCCUGAAUGCUCUGGUGGUACCAUAGGAGAACACAAAGGGAAUGGUGAUAAACAGGAUCAUAGAAGAGAAAAUGCAGGUGAUCGAAUCACUAGGAAAUUUGCUGGCAGGAACAGUGCAAGAGCAACACAAGGAAGAGCUCCAUAUUUGGGAAACUUGUGACAAGAUUAUCCAUCCUUCCCAAAGCACGAGUUAGAGGUGCCAGAGUGCAGAGGGAUGAAGCCCUUUGGACAGGCAGCCCUGCUCCCUCAGAGGCACGGGGAUGAGACAAACACCUGAUCCCUGAGGAUGCAGCUGGCAGGAGAAGCCUGAAAGCAAAGCUGUGAGUCCAGCCCGUAGCAGAGAGGCAACAGCAGCAGAAUGUGUGGCAGGAGCAAAUAUCCUGGAGCUGCCAAUUGCUGCUUUGUGGCUCUGAGGAAAAUGCAGCUGUGCCAUGGGAGCAGAGCCUUGGUGUGGUGCUGGACAAGAGGGUUGAGCCUCGAGGGCAGCAGCGUUCCCGUGUGCAGCUCAGUGUGUGGAGCAGGCAGUGCAGGAGCAGCAGGAGGAAGAUGUGCACACUUGGGCUGCAUCUGGCAAGAGUGUCCAUUGGAGCCAGAGGCUGGGUGAGGGCAGCGGGACUGGAGAGGGAGGAAGCCCUUUGGACACGAGUGCCUGCACCCUCAGCUGCGUGGGCAUGUGCAAGGUUACCAGCAGAACCUGCUCAUUCCUGAGCAUGCAGAUGGCCAGGCAAAUGCAGAGAGCCAACCUGGAGUCCAAGGCCGUUGCAGAAGGUGUUUCCUAUGGGCAGACACACAGCAGCAAGUUCCAGGAGCCGUCACUUCCUAGUGCUCGGCUUUAAGGAUGCCGUGGUGGUGGCACAGGAGAAGAGCCUUGGUGUUGUGCUGGAACGGGCUCGUCCAGAAGAAGAGGUGGAGUUCCCAUCUGCAGGGAACUCUGUGGCACCAGCAGUGGAGCAGCAGGAUGAGGAAGAUGUGCUGCUUGCAAACAUUUCUGCAAGAGCCUUCAUGCCUUUCAGAAGCUCCAUGAGAGCUGUCAGAGUGCAGAGUGACGAAGCCCUUUGGACAGGCGUCUCUGCUCCAAGACAGUUGUCAGAGUUUUUAAUGUGGACUAAAUUACUUUUGUACUAAUUCUCUAAUAUUUGAACUACGUAACUAGCAACUGAAAAGACGCAUCUGCCGUCGCAGACAUGAGCCAUAGGCAGUGUCAGUGUGAAUGCCUGAUGUUUGGCAAUAACAUGCACAAUAACAAGCAGAAUCUUUCAGGGGAGAUACAAAGUGGGCUUAAAUGUUGGUAAUUUACCAGCUCUGUCCACAGCAACCUGCCAUUUUCCAUCUCUGUAUGGUCUGCCCCAGAGAACCUAGGCUGCAGUUUGGUUCAAGAAAAAAUAAACACCUUCUACUGAAAUGUACAGUUCCAGUUUGCAGGUUUUAGAUGUGGUUUUACUGGAUGCUCUUGUUUAUCCCACCCUCUGAUAUAAUUAGUAGUAUUCAAAAGGUCCUAUACCACCUUAAUUUGUUCCUGCCACCUAUGUAGUCACAUUAAAAAGAGAGAAUUAAUUAGUGGCUGGGGUGUGACCCUGGCACCUCUGUUCCCACAAUCACACCAGCAGAUGUGGUGUUAAAUGGGCCCAUCGGUUUCUCUGCCUCCCCUCCUGUGCCUGGCCGGUUGUUCUGAGUGUCAUGUGCUGCAGAACGUGUGCCUGGCAAGGGCAGCUAUUGCAGGGUAAUUUGAAGCAGGCAGGUCUGCUGCUGCAGCUGUGAGCUGUGUGGGACUCUGAGGCAAAAGUAGGUAAAAGCACUUGUACUGCUUCAUGUGUCACCGUUUGGCAUAGAAAUGGGGAAAUCUGCCUGCUGGUGUGGUUACGAACAGGUCUCACUCCAGCCAGUGUGGUUAUUCUGUUAAUAGAUUCACCACAGAUUUCAAUUCAAUUAGGUUGCUGCUUUAGUACUCCCCAAGAAAGGAUUAGCAGUGUUCCUGAAGUAAUUCUUGAAAGGUUUUGCCUUUUUUCUGCAUUUUUAAGUAUUUGUGCCAUAGGCAGUGACAGGAGAGAGGCCUGCCCUGUAGGUUCCAAACUGGUUUGGAGCCAAAUAAAAGUCAUCUGUAGAUUUAUUUGGGAGCACUCUUCUAAGUAUGCGUGUAGCAGCCAGUGACUGUGGCCUGUUCUGAGCUAUGCACAUUUGAGCUUUGUCUUGCUGUGAAACAAGGCAGGUUUUAAGAAGUCUUAAUUUACAGGACUCAGGUAGAAUACAGGGCUUUUUCCUUAUACUUGCACCAUUAACCUCUCACUGUUAACCACUUUGACACUGAUGAUAAAUCUGAGAAGCAGAUUAUGGAUUUCAGUAGAAGUUUGUCUUUCUACAAAAUAUUCAAAGCUAUCUCUGAGAAACGUGUAUGUUGUUGACUGCCCUCUUCUUCAGGGAUCAAAGUUCUCUCCAUAUAGCUUUGUAACUGAGCUCAAUACAAAGAAAGUAGGAUAUAGCCUCUCUUAUCUUCUCACAGUCCUUCCUGGCCUCGAAUCUAUUCAUUGUAAUAAUCAAACCAUCCAGACUUACACGGCUUUAAACAAAGGGCUGUGACUACAGAAGAAAAAGGGUCCCUGUCUCAAAGGAAAGUCAGUGUUCUGCAGGAUGUCCAGGCUGGCCUGGGUGUAAGGUUGAACAUCAGGAUAUUUUCAUGUAUUACUUUUAUAAAGGUACUGAUGAAGUUUACUUUCAUCUGAUCAUGUUAAAAUUGCAGUACUUUGAAGGUGAAAUGUUUCAAGGACAUACAUUUAUUUCUGUAGUUUUACAGCCCUAUGAACUGCAGUCAUGAGGGAGAAGAGUGUAAAAAGCUUUAUGUGGUUUUUGAUAGGAAAACAGCAGUCUGAUACAUAUCAAUCAAGUAGUAAAACUUCAGGGGUUUUCUUACUAUAAUGUGAACACAGGUGCCAACAGUUUUGUGGUUGGUUUGGGUUUAUUUUAUCCAAAAUAGAACUGACCUCUACAUAGUUCUGCUUGGUUCUGCUUGAAGAAACAGAUUUUUUUCUGAAUUUACUUGACUUUUUUAUUUAUCAGAUGAGCACUUGGAAAACUGGUGGCUGCAGUGGGAGGUGGAUGGUGCUAUAGGACAGGGCUGUUUUGUCCUACUCCCUGGCCAAACAAGGUAUCAGCACACGGAGCCCUCAGCAGCUCCACAGUGCGGCUGGGCUUGGCCUGAGAACACACAUAAAAAGACACCGAGCUGAAGAGAUGAUACAAAACUGGGAGCAGCUGUUGACUCGCUCCCUCAAAGGCAGAGGCCCUGCAGAGAGGCCUCGAUAAAUUAAAGGACUGGGCAAAAACCAAACAAAUUCUGUACCUUGGAUGGGGCAAUCUGGAAUGUACAGACAGACUGGAGAAGGAGACAUUGGAAAGCAGCACCAUGGAAAGGGACCUGGGGGUCCUGGUCGAUGGAAAGUUGAAUCUGAGCCAGCAGUGCCCUGGAGCCAGGAGGGCCAACCCUGUCCUGGAGGGCAUCAGGCACAGCAUCACAGCUGGGCAGGGGAGGGGAUUGUCCUGCUCUGCUCUGAGCUGGGGCAGCCUCACCUUGAAUGUUGUGUGUAGUUUUGGUCACAACAUGUGAGAAAUGCAUAUUAUAUGGCUCUGCACAGAUAAGUGUAUUAUGCUAGGUUGAAAAGUUAUGCUAUAUUAACUUUUGAAUAGUAUAGUGAAUGUAGUUUUGUAAUUAGCAUUAAGCUCUAGUAGUUAAAAUAGAAGCUAUGUGUGUGAGAUAUUCUUUUUAUGAGCUCGGGAGAAGGAGAAGGUAAUCAGGGGGUUCUUCGCACAGAGAUAACAAUUACAAAAACCCCUAAAUUUCCAGAGGAGAAGGAUUUAUGGCGUUCCUUAUCUACAGAAACGAACUUCUUCAAGCCUGACUUAGACUCAGAGGCACCUGGGGAUUAACAGAAAAUUUUUGACAAGUACCAGAUGGAUUUCUUGUUUUAAAUAAAAUAUAUGCAUAAUCAAGUGUUCUGUAUAUGCAAUAGAUUACUCCUCUUAAGGAGUGAAUUUUCUCUUAACGAGGUCCUUUUCCUGGCUCACUUUUGUCCAGGAAGGGAUACCCAGCCCAGGCUGUAACUCUUUGCCAUUAUUGUCUCAUAAAUUGUCCUACUCUAAAUUGCUCAACUUUUAUUAUUCUAUUUGUAUUAUUAUUUUUUUAUAACCAUUUUUUAUUUUUAUUAAAUUUCC